CAGUAGGUCUGGGGUGGACUCACUCAGAAUUUGCUUUUCCACCAAGUUCUUAUGUGACGCGGGUGCUGCUGAUUCGUGGACCACACUGUGACAACCACUGAUCCGAGCUGCCUUACCGUGUGGGCUAUUCCACGGGCAUUUGGCUGACGUGUUGGGAGUCUCUUUCCUCCUCCCAUCCCCAGUGGUAAAUGGUUGAUGCCUCCUCAGACUCCAUGGGGGGAGCUUACGAUCAGUCAGGGAUGAAUCCAUUGAUGUUCGAUCCACUCUACUGCAUGAGGAGUACCUGCUACAUGCUAUGUAGUUUUUGCCUUUACAGAAUUUAUAGUGUAAUUUUGAGUAAAGAUAAGUAAGCAAUAAAUUACCUACGAAGCCCUUGCAUCCUUCACACUCAUCUCCUUAGGUAAAUGUAAACAGAAUCCAUAUCCGCCUUUUGUGCGUGAUGGAGGCGUGGCUGCAGUGAGCUGGUGAGAAGCAAUUCCGGCAUUAUCACCACUGUUCCCUGUCAGAAAGAAGCAGGCAUUUGUUCCUUCCUUCCCCCAGAGGAGUAUGGAGAUGGAAGCUCCCUUGGGGAUAUGGUGACAAAUUGCGUGUAGAGUAUAGCACGCAAGUUGUGGCUGCCCUACUUGAUUUUCAGGGAGUGAAAGCUGGUUGACAAACAAAUGCACUACAAGGCCUAUUAGGUCCCACGAGACCCCCUUCCUUCCUCCCCAGCUUGGAUGUCGCUUCUAUCUCAGCCUCUGUUCCAGGGAGUCCUGUGUUGUCACCUCACAGUGGAAGCUUCCUAGGGACAGGGCCCCACCUGACUCUAGGCCGGACAUUCUCAAUCCUGUGUACACAAGAAUUGCCUGCGGAGCUUUUAAACAAAUGCAGAGGCUUAGGCUCACCCCUGGAAAUUCUGAUAAAAUUGAACUGGAGUGGUGUCCAGGAAACUUUAAAAAAAAAAAAAAAAAAAAAAGGAAUUCCCCAGGUGAGUACAAUGUGCUCUCAGUGCUGGGAAGUGCUGAGUUGAUGACUGAAGUUACCUGAAAAGGUUAAUUGAAGAGUGAGUCUCUGUGAGUCACUCAGGAGUUUUGUGAAUGGAGGGAAGGACCACAUUGCGAAACUUACCUUGGAGGCCUAUCCUGAUUUUAGGCUCUUCUCCUGUAAUGGGACCUCUCAUGCACAUGUGCUCAUAGGGAGGAAUGGUUACUCCAGGUCCCUGGCACAGCUGGUCCAGAACUGUCUUCCAAACAGGAGGCAAGUGCUUUGGGAGUGAUGAUUCCCAAGCCCUAGGAAUCCCUGCUCUUGCUACAGUAUGUAGUCAUUAAAGGGCCCUCCAGUAGGUUCACCUCAUUCCUCCAGGACUCUAUCAUGGCCCCCUCUGUCCCUGAUUCCAGCGUUAGGACUGUGGUUCCCAGCCCCAGGCGCACUGUCACACACAGGCAGCACAUUAGCACCUACUUAUUGCCUGAAUUGUCUCUUCUGCCCCUGGUGGAUCAUGGGGCCACGUUGCUCACAGCAUUCAUGUAGGUUCUGUAGGAUGGCAACUUCUUUCCCCUGUUGACGUUGGUGAUCAAACCCUGAACUGUAUGCUCCUAGAGGUGACUUACUGUCAAUCCUUGGUCUAGGGGUGGUCACCCUGGGGGUGUGGCAAGUUACAGUUGAGUCCAUUCCCAGGUUGUGUCCUUGUCACUGUCAAUUGUGCGGACUUUUCAGCAGUGUGGAGUUCUCCCAGGUAGGGAAUAUAUUCCCAUUUGAAAGAUGAGGAAAUCAAGGCUAAGAGAGACAAUAAUCAAGAUCACACAAGUUAAGUAAAUGGUAGAGCUUGGCAUGUCUCAUGCCAGAGCCUCCAUUCUGCUGUUAAACCAUGUGCCUUCCCGUUUGAGCAGGAAUGAAACAUCACAUUUGCCAGGCAAGGGAGAAAGAUUUCAUGGCCUUGAAGACCCUUCCAUGACAGCAUUCAUGGUAUGCUGUGAGCUUCUGUAGGAUGGUGAUCUCUUUUCCCUGUGGUUGACUUUGGUGAUCAAACUCUGAACUGUAUUCUCCUAGAGGUGACUUAGUGUCAAUCC
rnacentral:lncRNA from 1 species